UCCUGUGUGGCUCAGUUGGUAGAGCAUGGCGCUUGCAACGCCAAGGUUGUGGGGUUCGAUUCCAAGAGGGA
rnacentral:tRNA from 1 species